UACGUAGGGAGCAAGCGUUGUCCGGAAUCAUUGGGCGUAAAGCGCGCGUAGGCGGCCCGGUAAGUCCGCUCUGAAAGUCCAGGGCUCAACCCUGGAAUGCGGGUGGAUACUGCCGGGCUAGAGUCCGGAAGAGGCGAGUGGAAUUCCUGGUGUAGCGGUGGAAUGCGCAGAUAUCAGGAGGAACACCGGUGGCGAAGGCGGAUCUCUGGGCCUUACCUGACGCUCAGGCGCGAAAGCUAGGGGAGCGAACAGG
rnacentral:rRNA from 1 species